rnacentral:lncRNA from 1 species
GAGCUCUCCCGGGACACCCCGCAUUUCCCUAGGGUCGGGAGCCCGAGGGGCGCGCUCGGCUGUCCGGCUCCUGCUCUUCAGCCUGUGCCACGAGCGGCAGCCGAGACCUCGUCAGACGUGACGGGCUGGGCCGGCAACCCGCGUGCGGGACCGCCUCCCGUAGCCCCAAUGCCCCGGCGGGAGGAGAGCCGUGAGGGUGUCCGCCUGGCGAGUGCGGCCAGAACACCGGUCACUGUUUUCUGUGCGCACGUUGCAAGGACCGUGUGUGAGUCUGGUAUAAUUUGACCUCCUGAGAUUCUGUCUUAGCAAGAAGAAAGUGGAAAAUACUCUUGGAAAGAAAACUAAGACAUUAAGAAAGCCAGAACUUAUUUUUAC